UAUUUAUGUUCAAUAUAUAAAAAGGGGAGUACGAGCUGUAGCUUAAAAACCAAAGAAUAUGGCGGUAUCUUAAUUUAUCAGGGUGGCUUGUAAUUUAAUUUGAUAACCCACGGUGUUAUAUCCUUAUUUUGAAAUAUUCAGUAUGUGUACUGCCGUUUAAUAUAAUUUUAUAAAAUUGUAUAAUAUAUAUAUAUAUAUAUAUAUAUAUAUAUAUAUAUAUAAAAUCAGGUCGAAGNGCAACCUAUAGUAAUGGUAUUAUAUGAGCUACAUUUAUUUAAAUAUUCAUUUUUUUUUUUGACUUAAAAAUUAGAAGAACUUGAUAGUAAUUAUAAUUUAUUUAUUAUAAUGAAAAUAUAAACUAAGAUAUGU
rnacentral:rRNA from 1 species